rnacentral:snoRNA from 1 species
UGAUGACUGUUCCUCCUAUUGCUUUGAGGGCUGGCAUUAGGAUUUUAAGUCAUCAUAAAUUGAAAUUUGAUUUUUCUUCACUCAGAGAAUAUUAGGAUAAUGGGAUUAUCUGUCUAUUCUCUGAAAUUUUGCGGAAUCAAACAAUU